rnacentral:misc_RNA from 1 species
GGCAUCACCCACUUGAUUCCCCUCAGGUUAAUGAAUAUUUUCCAGUUCUUAUCUGUGCAUUUGCAGCAUAAAAAGAGACGAUUAGCUGUCUCUGCCCCUUCAUAAAUAACAUCCAGAGCAUAAGUUAAAUCCUUCUCAACUUAUCCUGUGUCAGCGGUGCUUCUUCGGCCACAAGCCAAGAGAAGCAAGCGACUUUCAAUGGAUCUUCACUUUCAUCA